rnacentral:lncRNA from 1 species
UGAAAAGACACAACUUUAAUAUUUUGAUAACCUCUUAAGAAUCAAUGCAACCUUAAAAAUAAAAAAAAUACAAAAUAUGAAAAACGUUAUCAUUAUUAAAAUACAUAUCCUUAAAUAUUUUAAUAAUCUCUUAAAAAUUAAUGAAACCUCUCUAAGAUGAAAAGACACAACGUUUUAAUAUUUUAAUAAUCACUUAAGAAUCAAUAAAACCUCUAAAAUGAAAGACAUAACUUUUCAAUAUUUUGAUAAUCUAUUAAUAAUCAAAGCAAUUUCAAAUAUGAAAAUGGACAAAAUAUGAAACAAUGCAACCUCUAAAAUAGAAAUAGACCUUUCAAUAUUUUGAUAACCUUUUACAAAUCAGUACAACCUCUAAAAUAAAAAGACACAAUCUUUCAAUAUUUUUAUAACCUUUUAAGCUUUUUAAGAAUCAAUUGAGCCUC